rnacentral:lncRNA from 1 species
AACAGAUAAAAAUUGUUUAACAGUUUUUUUUAAUACCACUUUAAAUUCAAUUUACAACAGCAUUGGUAAUACUGCAAGAUGACAGAUACUAUGAUUUAUAAAACAAAAAUUACUUGCUACUCUGGCUGAUACAUUCCCACUAGUCUUUAAUGGAUUAAUAUGUAUCAUGUAUUUUAAUUGCAAAUUAUUAUAAAACUUUUACAACCUAGCCACUUGGAGCUCAGAAAACAUUUUGAUGUUCUAAAAACUUACUGAGAUGAAAAUGUUAAUUUUUGAAUAGUAUCCUUAGUAAAGAAAAACAUCAGUGUAGCCAAGCUUACGGUCUGGGGCUGACAGUGCAAACUCACUUGCCUUGUGCUCCGCCGCCUCCUGUGUGCGCAGCCAUCGGGGACUGGGCAAUCUUCCCAUCCCUUCCCUAGGUCUACGCUAUGAGAGAAAAGCUUAGGAGACAUUAAACUAAAACAGACGUGGAGAAAUAAUACGAGGGACAAUUUAAAAUUACCUUACAAUUUAUAACUAUAAUUUAAAACACAAAGUUUGGAGAAAUGAAAUGUGCUUUUGGAUGUUUCUUCUCCAUUUGUUUUGGUAAAUAGUUUUUGAAAAUGAAACUGAAAAUUCAAAUCUUCUCUUUAUUCUUUUCAUUGUAAUACCAUAUUAGAAAAGAUCUGGAUUUAAAUUUCAGAAUAAAUUGAAUUUGCUGGAAAAAUACUCUAAAAAUAAUCUAAAUUGGAUUUCAGUCAUUUUCCAUUCUUUUAAAUGUUAUGGUACACAACAGGGCAAAAGCUUUUUCGCAAGUCAUAAAAUUGAGUUGAAAAUAACUUGUUGAUUCAGCUACAGGAAGACAACUAACAAUUAACAGGCUCAUGAAUAUUUAUGAAUAAAGUGCCACUAAUUUUAUUGUAAUAAGAUAUAAAUAGAAUAAAUCCUGACAUGGAUAGUAGCUUCUGUGUUCUCUCCAUCCUGAGAACAGAAGGGCCAUAAAAAAACAAAGAAGCAUUACCAAAGGGGAGUUCUAGACCCACACGGGGAACUCCUAAUACAAAAGCAACAAGAAAGACAAGUAAGACUUUAAAAGUUGCAGAAGUCCUAAGAAUAGCGCCAAUGUAGUAGGCCCUUUUUAACAACAACAAAAAAAAAAAAAAGAGAGAGAGAGAGAAAUUAGAAAUUUAGAAGUUCAUUAAUAACUGUUACUUAUAUUCAAGGAAUUUAUAGUGACAGCCUAGUGGUGACCAGCUCUAGGAAAAGACGCUGAAGAGGACGCUCCCAGCACCUGGGACAGAGGAGAGAACAGACACACCAGGGAAGCAGCCUUGGAAAGGGGAUGCAGACAUGAGGCUUUUCAGGGCUUCAGAUCUACAUGACUGCACCCAAUGGACAGGCUCUGUACAAUCACUGCCCACAAGCCCAACAGGUAGCCACUCGAGACACACACACUGAGGGGACUUCGGGGCUGGCUGACUUGCUCAGAUGCAUUUUAACAAAAACCCCCAUCACCAUCCUGCUCACAUUCCUACCGUCACCUCAAACAUCUCUGCUUUUAGCUCCAGAUUCUUCUCAACAUAACUGAGUAACUAACCACAAUGGAUAUGAAAUACUGUUGAGUAGGUUAAAGUCCUUAAUAAGUCAAGCGUCUUAGCAUAUUUUUGAAGUCGUAUCUAUAAUCAAAGCCUGGAGCACCUGUUUGUUCAACACAGUUAUCUUUCAUCCAGAAUUACAAAAUAUAGAAGCUGUCAUUCUUGAGUUUCCCCAUGGGUCCCUGGUAUUGCCCACGUGGGAACAACAGGAAGGGUGGAGGUGAGGGCACAGCACUGUACUACAGCUGCAGGGCUGAUCAAGGGAAUCUCAUGAGGUGCUUUUUAUCAUUUAAUGUGCCAACAACAGGAGGACAACCAUGUGCUUCUAGAACAGGGUGAAGGCCCUCCUCACGGGAGUGAUCCCUAAUCUGGCCCCAGCACCGUGAAAGGUGAAUAGCUGUCAAUAUCUACUUUCACCUAAACCUAAGCUUUUAAAAUUCUGACCAAGUGGUGAAAGGUGCCAUCUAAAGUGCUCUCUGUUGCUCGCUGAGGAGCUAAGAACUCCUGCGGCUCACUCAGGACACAGGGCUCCUUUGCAGCCCAGGCCCUGUGCCGCAGCUCUGCCCAGCUCAGCGGUGUAGCUCCCAGAGUCAUGGACUGCUCGCAUCUGUUCUGGCCGGCUGGUGCCCACACUGGAGAGACUGGCAAGUAUCUUGAGUGUCAUCCCCAAUGGCCCCAGGAAGGAAAAUGGACUCUGUUCUUCACUUUCAUUACUGUUGAGCUGCUGAAUUCUCUUGCAAAAACCAUCAACAGGCAUUUACUAAGCAAAUGCCCACAGGGAACCCAGCCUGAAAAGGGCCCUUCCAAUUUCAUAUUUGACAGGCAUGUGCAGAGGUAAUGAAAUUAUUCAGCAGAGCAUCAGAUUCACUCAGAGGCUACCAAGCCAAGAAACUGAAAGCAGAAACACUGGAUUCUCCCUGUUUGUUGAACCUUUCCCUCUAAAACCAACUUAUUCAGAAACACAUCCUUUAAAAAAACAAAAGGAAAAACCAAAGCGGUGAAACAAUAUCACUUACUGGUUGGAAGACAUCACUCUGACAUAGUCAUUAGUCUUGCAGAGACCUAACACCAGGCAGCUUCACAAACACACAGCAAGUCUGCAGAGUUAUAUUGAUCAGUAAGAGUAAACCCAAACUGCACUAAAUACUCUCAUGGCCAAGAGGAAAGCAGAUGCUGUUUUCAGGACAAUGUGAUAGUGACAGCCUAUUUCCUCAUGUGCAGCACAAUUUGCUAUGUUUAGUGGCACUUAAGUAUUACACAGUAAAUACUGAAAAGACCCAGAAUUUUUGGAUGUGCAGAAGCAAUAUCACAUUGUUUAUACAAAAGGUGCUAUGCUACGGGAUUAGAAUACCACUAUUUGGGUGUAGAGACCACUUAAAAUCUUCAACACGCUCCCACACGCGGCCUCUCCGCCGGCCUUUGCUCAGUCGGACCAGUCGUUCUCGUCGAACUCUGAGUCGUCGUCAGAGUCGCUGUACUCCACGGCAAUGCGCCGGGACAGGAUCGUGGCC